AACGAACGCUGGCGGCGUGCCUAACACAUGCAAGUCGAACGGGAAAACCCGCAAGGGUGAGUACAGUGGCGCACGGGUGCGUAACACGUGGGUAAUCUGCCCAGAAGCCCGGAAUAACUCCCCGAAAGGGGUGCUAAUGCUGGAUGAGACCACGGGGACUUCGGUUCCUGGGGGAAACGGUGGCCUCUGUAUACAAGCUAUCACUUCUGGAUGAGCCCGCGGCCCAUCAGCUAGUUGGCGGGGUAAUGGCCCACCAAGGCGACGACGGGUAGCUGGUCUGAGAGGACGAUCAGCCACACUGGAACUGAGACACGGUCCAGACUCCUACGGGAGGCAGCAGUGGGGAAUCUUGCGCAAUGGGCGAAAGCCUGACGCAGCAACGCCGCGUGUGUGAUGAAGGUCUUCGGAUCGUAAAGCACUGUCGGGAGGGACGAAUAAGGGCCGGGUGAACAAUCCGGUUCGACGACGGUACCUCCAGAGGAAGCACCGGCUAACUCUGUGCCAGCCGCCGCCGUAAAAC
rnacentral:rRNA from 1 species